AGCUCCACUUCUCCCCUCUCUAAUUAGGCUGGGGAGAGCCGCGGAGGCGCCGGGCUGAGGUGCGAGCGAGGCGGCCGGGCCGAGCCAAGAGCAACCCUGACCUGGUGAAAAUUAGAAAUACUGCAAUGCAAAGCAUACUGCAGCACCUCUUGAAAGGGAAUUGCCAGAAUUUAAUUGCAUCCUCCUCUUCUUAAACAAGUUCAAAAUAGGCUUUCAUACCUAGAGGCGAUUUUUUGGUUAUUGGGAAAUGACACAGUAGAUGCCCUGCAAGCCAGUUUCCCCCACACUCAUAAGAAAAAAGGUCAAUGGACAGAGAGGGAGUGGAGCUCCCUAGAAAAAGCCUUUGUGCUUUCAGCCAUCAGACCCUCAUCAUUGCAGGGACUGCCUGGUGGAUCUGCCUCCUGGGGUGGUGGUCCUCAUGGACAAAUCCCCGGCCCAGACUGGUCCCCUGUGCUCUCCCCAUGCCCUUGGCUCCCAGCAGCACUGGUGCACCAAGGCUGCGUCCCUGGGG